GGGGAGGGGGUGGAGGAGGAGGAGCCAUCUUUAUGUUGAUUAAGCAUUUGGUCUCUUGUCAAAUAAGCCAAAGUGGUGAAAGAAUGGCUACGAUAUGGAUUAGAUGGUUUAUGAUAGAUUUAUGAAUGUUUAAUUCAUAUUGUCAAACCAUAGUAUCUUGAAUUGGGAGAAGCUCAAUUCAAAGGUGCUAGUUUGCACACCAG
rnacentral:misc_RNA from 1 species